AACGAACGCUGGCGGCAUGCCUAACACAUGCAAGUCGAACGAGACCUUCGGGUCUAGUGGCGCACGGGUGCGUAACGCGUGGGAACCUGCCCUUAGGUUCGGAAUAACUCCCCGAAAGGGGUGCUAAUACCGGAUAAUGUCUUCGGACCAAAGAUUUAUCGCCUUUGGAUGGGCCCGCGUUGGAUUAGCUAGUUGGUAGGGUAAAAGCCUACCAAGGCGACGAUCCAUAGCCGGUCUGAGAGGAUGAUCAGCCACACUGGGACUGAGACACGGUCCAGACUCCUACGGGAGGCAGCAGUGGGGAAUAUUGGACAAUGGGCGAAAGCCUGAUCCAGCAAUGCCGCGUGAGUGAUGAAGGCCUUAGGGUUGUAAAGCUCUUUUACCCGGGAUGAUAAUGACAGUACCGGGAGAAUAAGCUCCGGCUAACUCCGUG
rnacentral:rRNA from 1 species